UAGCGGCAGGCCUAACACAUGCAAGUCGAACGGUAACAGAGGGUGCUUGCACCCUGCUGACGAGUGGCGCACGGGUGCGGAACGCGUAUGGAACCUGCCCCUGUCAGGGGAAUAGCCCAGGGAAACUUGGAUUAAUGCCCCAUGGUGACACGGAGUCGCAUGACUUUGUGUUCAAAGAUUUAUCGGACAGGGAUGGCCAUGCGUACCAUUAGCUUGUUGGUAAGGUAACGGCUUACCAAGGCAACGAUGGUUAGGGGCCCUGAGAGGGGGAUCCCCCACACUGGUACUGAGACACGGACCAGACUCCUACGGGAGGCAGCAGUGAGGAAUAUUGGACAAUGGUGGGAACACUGAUCCAGCCAUGCCGCGUGCAGGAUGACUGCCCUAUGGGUUGUAAACUGCUUUUAUACGGGAAGAAACGCGCCUACGUGUAGGCGUCUGACGGUACCGUAAGAAUAAGGACCGGCUAACUCCGUGCCAGCAGCCGCGGUAAUACGGAGGGUCCGAGCGUUAUCCGGAAUCAUUGGGUUUAAAGGGUCCGUAGGCGGGCCUAUAAGUCAGGGGUGAAAGGCCACGGCUCAACCGUGGGACUGCCCUUGAUACUGUAGGUCUUGAGUUAUAGUGGGGUUGCCGGAACAUGUGGUGUAGCGGUGAAAUGCAUAGAUAUCACAUAGAACACCGAUCGCGAAGGCAGGUGACCAACUAUAUACUG
rnacentral:rRNA from 1 species